UACGGAGGGUGCGAGCGUUGUCCGGAAUCACUGGGCGUAAAGGGCGCGUAGGCGGCCUGAUAAGUAGGGGGUGAAAUCCUGCGGCUUAACCGCAGGGCUGCCUUCUAAACUGUCAGGCUCGAGCACAGUAGAGGCAGGUGGAAUUCCCGGUGUAGCGGUGGAAUGCGUAGAGAUCGGGAAGAACAUCAGUGGCGAAGGCGGCGACCUGGGCCAAUAUUGACGCUGAGGUGCGAAAGCGUGGGGAGCAAACAGG
rnacentral:rRNA from 1 species